GACGAACGCUGGCGGCGUGCUUAACACAUGCAAGUCGAACGGAAAGGCCUCUUUCGGGGGGUACUCGAGUGGCGAACGGGCGAGUAACACGUGAGUAACCUGCCCUUGACUUUGGGAUAACUUCAGGAAACUGGGGCUAAUACCGGAUAGGAGCUCCUGCUGCAUGGUGGGGGUUGGAAAGUUUCGGCGGUUGGGGAUGGACUCGCGGCUUAUCAGCUUGUUGGUGGGGUAGUGGCUUACCAAGGCUUUGACGGGUAGCCGGCCUGAGAGGGUGACCGGCCACAUUGGGACUGAGAUACGGCCCAGACUCCUACGGGAGGCAGCAGUGGGGAAUAUUGCACAAUGGGUGGAAGCCUGAUGCAGCAACGCCGUGUGCGGGAGGACAGCCUUCGGGUUGUAAACCGCUUUCGCUCAUGACGAAGCUUUGUGUGACGGUAGUGGGUAAAGAAGCACCGGCUAACUACGUG
rnacentral:rRNA from 1 species